rnacentral:lncRNA from 1 species
CUGUAUGGGAAUUUAUGAGUACUAUUGCAUAUUUAAAAAUUACUCCAUUCAGUUUAAGAAGACAUUAUGGUUUAGUUCGAUUUUGGGUUUUUUGGAGGGGGAGAUGGAGUAGGAGAUUUUGUUUGUUUUUCAGGGGGAGUGGUAGAGUGGUUUUUGUUUAAUUUUUUUUUUUUUAAGGUUGUCCUGUCCUGCUUCAUUUUUGUAGAUUCAUAGCUGCAAACCAACAGUGCCAUCCACUGUCUCUCAGAAUAAUAUUGCUCAACAGAUUUUCCCUACCAUUAAAUAAAUUAAGAUGCUCUAUUUUAGAGUCUGAGUGCCUACAAGCAACGUGUACAGGGGACAUGCAAGAACAUGAGGCCUCUAAACAAAAAAAGCCAAAUUAUAAUAGAAAUUUGCAUGGAAGAGAAUAAAAACUCCUGACUUAAUUCUACAGAAAACUUCAUGAGUAAUUUAGGAGAUUUUUUCUCCUAUGACUGUAGCAUUUUGUUCAAACACACUAAAUAUGACUGAUUUUUAAAAGGGCUGUAAUCUGACUUCACAUCUGAACCACAAAUUGCCCUGAAUUGUUGUCAGCAUCAGCAGUUCUGAAACUGAUGUUUCCUUCAGGGACACUGGGCACAACACCUGUAGGUGGUCCAGCAGGACAAAGCUGUGCUGGUUUUCAGUAAUUUCUGCAUUUAUCUAAAUGACACUGUUGUAUACACAGGUCUUCUAUGAGUUUUAUUGAUUAAAGAGGGGAACAACAAAAAUUAGCCAUUAAAAUAUAACAUAUUGAUAAUGGAAGAAGACAAGAUCACGUAGGGCAAUAAGAGACAGGAUGCAACCAGAUGUAGCACUUUUGGUACCAUCAAAUUUUCAACUUGUUUGAGGGAUUCCAGCACAUGUGUCAUUCUGGGGAGGCUUAAGGAGGUCUGGAUGUAUUACACUUUGGCUAAGUGUUCUUGCCCAGAACACCACCCCUCUGUAGUUCCAAGGCAAACUAGGAGUAAAUUUGAAUUAAUAUUAGUACCAUAAGAUAAAUUAGUACCAUGUACAUAGACAAAGUAACAUCACAAUCAUCAUACUGUAGACAACUAGCAAUGAAUGUGAUAAUUCAGCUUCUUAAUUCAUAAAACAUUUGGUUUAUGGGGUUUUAGGUGUUUGUGCUAGCACAGAACUUCCCUAAUACAUUUCAGUGAGGUCUAGAAGUGUGUGCCAAAGUGGUGUAACACCUGCUGUAUUUUCCAUGGAUAUUCAUUAUAAACAGAAUUUUUGUGCAGUAUUCAAAACAUUUUCUUGAUACAUCUUGGUACAUCACCAUCAAUAUUAGCUGAUAAUAAAAUCAGUCCUGGACACAAUACUUGAUUUUUUUUGUAUUUGUUUAAAAAAGGUUUCAAUUCCCUGGUGCAAUUAUGGAACUUUAAACGUAAUUCUCUUUAGAACUGCAAAGGAAUUAGACCACAGAAACCCUGCUAAGGGUAAAGCAUGAUAAAAAGAAACAGCUUCAAAGAACUCCUUUCUAUUGCUGUUGCCUCAUGUCAUGUUAUAUUCUAAGCCUGGGCUGUGCUAAUGUCUGUGAACAGACAAUAAGAAAAAAUCAGAAAGGAAAGAAAUCUGUGUAGCCUAGCAUUUCAAAUAGUCACAGAAAAACUUUUGCUACUAUCCUAGUGCAAUUUAACAUUCUACAUUGGGAUGUGCCUUUGAAAUGCAACACUGACUUCCACAGUGUUGACAGAACCACCAGUAAUUCUCAUUCAGCCAAACUCUGAAAGGAGACAGAGGGAACCUGGUCUUUAUUCUGAUGUCACACAGUGUGUAAUGAAAAUUUUCCUUUACGUUACUGUUAUAAAAAUUAUGUCUUAUUUUCAACAUUUCACAUUAGCAAAAACACUAAGCCUGAAACACAUCCUGAAAAGUCACAGGGGAAAAAAGCCCACAGUUAGGAUGGAGUCAGCAGACACAUCUUUCCUCACUGAGAAUUUCCAACUUAGGGAAUGAAGGAUGGCUCUGGAGGGCUGAUUUUGUUUGCAGCCCUCCUAAAUAGCUCCUAAGCAGGAGCAAUUAAUAUCAGCCUUUUUCUGUCCUUCUGUAUCUUGUUUAUUACUCUCUGACUCAGCAGAAAGGGAAGAUCAACAUCCAGAACAUCCUGAUUCCACUUAAUCAGUGUAGCUUCAAGAACUUUUAAUGGAUUUCAACAAGAAAGCAUAAUGCAGAUGGAGGCAAGCAAGUUUGUCUAUAUCACCUUAAAACUGAAAUUUGUCUCCAUGACUGUCUUCAAUAACCCCUGGUGCCUUUCAAACUUAUGUUUGAGGAACGUUUUAAGACUUCAGUCUUGUCUGCCUUUUUUUAAAAAUCCAUACUAUAAAUUUAAAUGCAAGAUCUUUAGUAAAUAACUAAUCCCAAAAUGUCAUGCUUUUAAAUUUACAAUGACGAAGUAUUGAGUAAAAUCUAUUUCUGAGACUCUCUUAUAACAUCUGAUCCUUUUAUGUAGAUCAUCUCUGAUUUCAAUAGUUGUUUCCAAGAAAGAGUCUUGAAAAAACAGAGAACUUACACAGGCAUUUAGAUAGGCUGAAUACAAACCAGUCAUUUCAUAAAACUGUGUGCAAUAACCGUCCAAUUUUAAGCUUAUUAAAUACAUUCUAUGAAGUAGAGAAAAUAACAAAGUGUGACAAAAGCCUGUAUCAGUAAGUAACACUGGAACUGCAAUACCCAUCUCAGUUGUGGAGGAAAAUGCCUAGAAGCAGUUGGAUAUAACCUAGAGGGACUGCAGUGCUGGAGUUGAAGUCAGGAAGGAUGUGGGAUACUCAAAACCACAGAACAAGUCCCCAGUGCAGCCUGAAAGAGCUCUGCUGGACCCCAUGAUGGCAUCCACGAUUCUCUUUGCUCAGAGGAAUUAACCCACUUGGAGAAAUAUGGUUUGAAAGUGGACAU